CCUGGCUCGAGGACGACGCGUGGCGGCGUAGCCUAAUACAUAGCAAGUCGAACGGUCUUUCUAUGGAAGCUUGCUUCCACUGAGAAGGAUAGUGGCGAACGGGUGAGUAACACGUGGGUAACCUGCCCAUAAGAGGGGGGAUAACAUCCGGAAACGGGUGCUAAUACCGCAUAGUUUUCUUGAUCGCAUGAUCGGGAAAGGAAAGACGGCCUUUGUGCUGUCGCUUAUGGAUGGACCCGCGGCGUAUUAGUUAGUUGGUGAGGUAACGGCUCACCAAGACGAUGAUACGUAGCCGACCUGAGAGGGUGAUCGGCCACAUUGGGACUGAGACACGGCCCAAACUCCUACGGGAGGCAGCAGUAGGGAAUCUUCCGCAAUGGACGAAAGUCUGACGGAGCAACGCCGCGUGAGUGAAGAAAAGGGUUUUUCGGAUCGUAAAACUCUGUUGUCAGAGAAGAACAAGUUGGAGAGUAACUGCUCCAGCCUUGACGGUAUCUGACCAGAAAGCCACGGCUAACUACGUGCCAGCCGCUGC
rnacentral:rRNA from 1 species